AUUGAACGCUGGCGGCAUGCCUUACACAUGCAAGUCGAGCGGCAGCGCGGGGGCAACCCUGGCGGCGAGCGGCGAACGGGUGAGUAAUGCAUCGGAACGUACCCUGGAGUGGGGGAUAACGCCGCGAAAGCGGCGCUAAUACCGCAUAUGCUCUGAGGAGGAAAGUGGGGGACCCGCAAGGGCCUCAUGCUCUGGGAGCGGCCGAUGUCCGAUUAGCUAGUUGGUGAGGUAAAGGCUUACCAAGGCGACGAUCGGUAGCUGGUCUGAGAGGAUGAUCAGCCACACUGGGACUGAGACACGGCCCAGACUCCUACGGGAGGCAGCAGUGGGGAAUUUUGGACAAUGGGGGCAACCCUGAUCCAGCCAUGCCGCGUGAGUGAAGAAGG
rnacentral:rRNA from 1 species